rnacentral:rRNA from 1 species
UACGGGGGGGGCAAGCGUUGUCCGGAAUCACUGGGCGUAAAGCGCGCGCAGGCGGCGAUCUACGUCUGGGGUGAAAGCCCGGAGCUCAACUCCGGGACUGCCUUGGAUACGGAAUCGCUUGAGGAUUGGAGAGGCAAGGGGAAUUCCACGUGUAGCGGUGAAAUGCGUAGAUAUGUGGAGGAACACCUGUGGCGAAGGCGCCUUGCUGGCCAAUUUCUGACGCUGAGGCGCGAAAGCGUGGGGAGCAAACAGG